CAGCUCAACUUACCUUGUCUGAACAUCCUGGAUCUGGCAAUCAGCCAACCAACAUUAAAUCGAUGCAACCGCAGCAGUACCAACAACUCCAAAUCUAGCAACAGCCAACAACCCCUCAAAAAAGGACCACAUAGCAAUUACUGCUCAAACGAACAACAGGAGUUUACGAAUGAUGGACACAUCGGAAAACAUUUCAUCGGCACAUUUUGCCUUAAAACUUGUCUACCACUAUUUUUACCAGCGGUUGCCUUCCUGAUUUAGAGAAAUCGGAGUCAAGCACAAACGUCAUAUUCCAGCCUUGGUUCUUACCAGUUCCUUGCAUGAAAAUAUCACUGCCUCCGCAGUGCUCGUGAUUCCAUUCCAGCAGCAGCAAGCAAUCACUAUUCGAGUGCUUAUCGCCAACAUUUCACAGCAAGCUCAGCAGCAGAACCACCUUCAACCAUAACAUCAAGAAAUUAAGAUUUCCUCCAGACCAUGACCAUCAUCCUAAAGGUCGGUAGCAAUAACGUUCAACCGACGGUACAACCUGGUCAGCAACCGCAAUUAGUGCAAUAGAUCCAAGCCAAAUGUAGAAGACCAUUGACCAACUGCAAAAAAGAUAGCAACAGCACAUUCAAACACAGUAGCAGCAGCAUACUAUACUGUACCAUGCGGUGUGCAGGAGGACUUUUUUAUUCAGUUGGUGCGGCAAGAUCGAACACCAACAACAUAAUAUCAUGGUAAUCACCCAGCAAGAGAACGCAGUGAUAAUGGGCCAACAGAAAACACAACAUCAAGAUGCUCGGAAAGGACUUUCUCUUUCGAACAAACAUAAUGGCACGUCAUGUUCAAUCGGCGUUUGGAAUAAGCGCUCAUCAUCGGUUUCAUGGCAGGGAAGUGAGCAGGCAAAAGAAGGCAUCGUUUUUUUCCGCAAGGUCGCUCUGGUCAAAAUUUCAGCGAAUUGCAAGGAAUAAACCACCCGAAGGACAGUACCCGUGCUGAUUCAGGACGAUUUCCCAUACUUUGUACCUUGCUAUUGAAUUUUAAUACCCGAUCGAAACGAUGGCAAGCGCUGCCGUUAACUGGGUCAAAAAGACGACGGAUCAAGAAAUUUCUGCACUCGGUUAGCGAACUGAGUACAUAUCACCAAGGAUAAGGAUUCAGAGCCGGCGGCUGGCAGUCUAGAGAAAGAGAAUGCGGAAAAACCUAGUCCACCGGCAGUAGAACCAAAACUGCACCUGAUGUUUGGAGUUCGGUAGCUACGGAAAUUCUGACUCUAGCAGCUCCUGAAGAAAAACAAGCUGCAAGAGAAAAUGGAGAAACAGCUUCCUCCGCGGAAGAUGCAGAGGCAUUCAACCUGGCGGAUGCAAGUUUGCUAAUGAAAGAUGUUCGCUAAGGUCUAGUAGAAUCAAAGCUGGAUCUGGAGGUGCAGCGGAAGGAUUCUUCUUCGCCGAUUGGUUGGUUAAAACUUUCGAAGCUUUGCGCAUGAAGCCGGAAUUACUACAGGGAGUCUAUGCGAUGGGUUUCAACGCCCCUUCCAAGAUUCAGCAGAUGGCUCUACCUACUCUGUUGGCCGGUCCGCCACGGUAUAUAAUUGCCCAGAGUCAGUCGGGAAUAGGAAAAACCGCUGCCUUCGUGCUGGCAAUGCUCAGUUGAGUCCAUCAGUUAAAAAACUAUCUGCAGGUGAUUUGCCUUUCCCCCACGUAUGAGCUGGCCAUUCAGAAGGGGGAAGUAGCUGCCAAAAUGGCAAAGUUUUGUCCGGAAAUCAAACUUCCUUACGCCGUUCGCGGUGAGGAGACCG